UGGGGAAUAUUGCACAAUGGGCGCAAGCCUGAUGCAGCCAUGCCGCGUGUGUGAAGAAGGCCUUCGGGUUGUAAAGCACUUUCAGCGGGGAGGAAGGCGUUAAGGUUAAUAACCUUGGCGAUUGACGUUACCCGCAGAAGAAGCACCGGCUAACUCCGUGCCAGCAGCCGCGGUAAUACGGAGGGUGCAAGCGUUAAUCGGAAUUACUGGGCGUAAAGCGCACGCAGGCGGUCUGUCAAGUCGGAUGUGAAAUCCCCGGGCGCAACCUGGGAACUGCAUUCGAAACUGGCAGGCUAGAGUCUUGUAGAGGGGGGUAGAAUUCCAGGUGUAGCGGUGAAAUGCGUAGAGAUCUGGAGGAAUACCGGUGGCGAAGGCGGCCCCCUGGACAAAGACUGACGCUCAGGUGCGAAAGCGUGGGGAGCAAACAGG
rnacentral:rRNA from 1 species